rnacentral:tRNA from 1 species
GCUCCGGUGGUACAGUGGUUAAACGCUCAGCUGCUAACCGAAAGAUUGGUAGUUCGAACCUACCCAGUGGCA